rnacentral:lncRNA from 1 species
GAGGAAUAAACUUUUCUUUCUUUUACAAUCUAACCCCUCAUCAUCGUUAAAAGUCCUUCCAAGCUUGAAAUCAUCAAAUUUCCAUAGAAACCUUAGUUAAAUCAAGUUUCCUACAUCCUAGCAAGUUUAGUUUUCAAGCUAGAAGUGGAGUGUUCGUGCUUGAAGAAAGAGAAAAAAUCUAAAUAAUGUGAUAAACUAAGGCUUUAAGGUAAAAUUUUCAUGAUUUAGUAGUAGUAUCAUGUUUAUUAUAAUUAUUUGAGCAUGUAAAUGUUAUGAAAUAAGUAUAUUGAUUUCUUAUGUUUUAUGGAAUUGCUAUGAAAUUAAGAGAAAGAUAAGGAAGAAGAUGGAAGGAGUGUAUACAAGGGGAAACAAGUAGAUAAAGUUUGAAGAAAAAAUAGCCUAAUUAAGAAUAGUAAGUACUUUAGAAUUCUUCUUACUUAAUUAGGUUUUGAAAUUUAUAUGCUAACGUACAUGUUAAUGUCAUGAAAUUGAGUAUUUGUAACUUAAUAAAUAUAUAAAUAAUUUAAGAAAGUAGUAAAUAAAUGUUAUCGUUGAUGUGAAUAUAUGUGUGGAGAAAAGGACUAAAUUGUAAAAUGUUAAAAUUUAUGUGUGACUAUGAAAAUACGAAAACUUGAUUUUGCUUGUGAUGAAUAUUGGAUUUAUAAUAUUUUUAAAGCUCUUGUAGACAAGUGUGGGAGAAAGCCUCUAAUCGACCCAAACCGUGGGUUGUCCCGGCGAUGCGACUGUCUUGAUGUCUCAACGAGCAGAGAAGCAACACCGCGACAAUGCGACAUCCAGAUCAAGUUUUUGGCUUUUUUUCUCCCAAUUAAACUUUGUUUUAUUUUUCCACUUAAACUCUGAUUAAUCUAGAAGUAUUCCAGUCAUAUUGUACUAUGAAUUUUAGUAAUAUAAAUAGGCCACAAUUACUCUAUGUUAGACACAAUAGAAAUAUUUAAAUUGAGAGAAUUCUAUUCUUUGCUUAGAAGUGUUUUUCUCGUGGGUUUUGGAUUCUAUUUUAAUUCUCUCCAUCUCUUGUACUUUCCUUUUAUUAUAUUAAAAUCUCUUUUUGCC